CAGGCAACUGAGCCCUGGCGGCGAGCGGCGAACGGGUGAGGAAUACAUCGGAACGUACCCCGGAGUGGAGGAUAACGCCGCGAAAGCGGCGCUAAUACCGCAUAUGCUCUGAGGAGGAAAGCGGGGGACCUGCAAGGGCCUCGCGCUCUGGGAGCGGCCGAUGUCCGAUUAGCUAGUUGGUGGGGUAACGGCUCACCAAGGCGACGAUCGGUAGCUGGUCUGAGAGGAUGAUCAGCCACACUGGGACUGAGACACGGCCCAGACUCCUACGGGAGGCAGCAGUGGGGAAUUUUGGACAAUGGGGGCAACCCUGAUCCAGCCAUGCCGCGUGCGGGAAGAAGGCCUUCGGGUUGUAAACCGCUUUUGGCCGGGAAGAAAAGGCGUCGGCGAAUAACCGGCGUUCCUGACGGUACCGGCAGAAUAAGCACCGGCUAACUACGUGCCAGCAGCCGCGGUAAUACGUAGGGUGCGAGCGUUAAUCGGAAUUACUGGGCGUAAAGCGUGCGCAGGCGGUUGGUUAAGUCAGAUGUGAAAGCCCCGGGCUCAACCUGGGAAUGGCAUUUGAAACUGGCCAGCUUGAGUAUGGCAGAGGGGGGUGGAAUUCCGCGUGUAGCAGUGAAAUGCGUAGAGAUGCGGAGGAACACCGAUGGCGAAGGCAGCCCCCUGGGCCAAUACUGACGCUC
rnacentral:rRNA from 1 species